rnacentral:lncRNA from 1 species
CAAGUCACUAAGUCACUUCUCAAGUGACCCCACUUUACUAAAUUCAAAACAAAAGUUCACAUUUCAAGUACCUACACUCAAACAAAUCAAAGUCACUAAUUCACUUCUCAAGUGACCAUACUUCACUAAAUUCAAAGCAAAAGUUCACCUUCAAAUACCUAAAUUCAAAACACAAGUCACUAAUUCAUAAUUCAAGUAACUACAGCUAAACUUUUCAAGUCACUAAUUCACUUCACAAGUUACCAAACUUAACUAAAUUCAAAAGGUUCACAUUUCAAGUACCUACACUUAAAUAUUUUCAAGUCACUAAUUCACCUCAAGUGACCACACUUUACUAAAUCCAAAACAAAAGUUCACCUUUCAAAUACCUAAAUUCAAAACACAAGUCACUAAUUCAUAAUUUAAGUAACUACACCUAAACAUUUCAAGUCACUAGUUCACUUCACAAAUUACCAAACUUAACUAAAUUCAAAACAUAAGUUCACCUUUAAAGUACCUAAAUUCAAACACAAGUCACUAAUUCAUAAUUCAAGUGACUACACCUAAACAUUUCAAGUCACUAAUUCACUUCACAAAUUACCAAACUUAACUAAAUUCAAAACACAAGUUCACCUUUCAAGUACCUAGAUUCAAAACACAAGUCGCUAAUUCAUAAUUCAAGUAACUACACCUAAACAUUCAAGUCACUAAUUCACUUCACAAGUUACCAAACUUAACUAAAUUUAAAUCAAAAGUUCACAUUUCAAGUACCUACACUUAAACAUUUUCAAGUCACUAAUUCACCUCUCAAGUGAGCAUACUCUACUAAAUUCAAAACAAAAGUUCAAUAGAUUUAAUGAAGCAAAUAAGUAAAGGCGUCGCAUGUCCCUCUCACACCAUAUAAGCAUUAUAAAACCUAUGGCUUUCAAAGCUUCUAUAGCAAACAAUCCCACCAUAACACUACAUUUAAAGACUUCACUAAAAAAAUCGAGAGAAAAUCAACUUACCUUUGCUUGACCUAAAUUAAAGAGAAAGACACAACCGGUCACUGAAAAAUAACAAAGCAAUCCUUUUAACUUCUCUUAAAAGAAACAACACAUGCUAACAUCGAUCUAUCGAUAAAAAUAAUAAACUAUAUCAGUAGCUAUAUCUGUAUUUCAAGAAUAUAUACAUACACAUACCUUCAACCCCCACCCCUCCAAUCCCACCCCACCCCCCACACAAAAAACAAAAGAGGGUGUAAACAAGAAUCUUCACCUAACACCAACCCACAUUGUAAGAAAAUCAAGAAUGUAAGUGCAAUUAAUGUAAUUUACGAUAGAAUAACAAACCAAAUACUGUAUAUAGAGAGAAAUUGAUUCAAAAAAAUGAAUCUUGAUUCAAGAAACUCCACUUUCUGCUGUAAUAUAAUUGCAAAAAGCAAGUAAUUUCAAUUCAAAUCAGUAAAUGCAACAAGAAAUACCCAAAAACACAAAAGCCAAAAUUUUCAAUAUAGGUUGGUCCAAACCUACAAAUCGAGUGAUUCUUAAAUUGGGGUUUUCUUUCAUUUCUCAAAUUACUGAGGAAGAAACUGGAAAGAGAAAGAAAAACCGGCUCUAAUUAAACUAAGGAAGAGAACUUAAAUCCACACACACAAAAAAAAUCACUUAAAAUAAUCAAAAUCAGCAACCGUAAGUUUACACCCCCAUUUGAAUGAAGCAAAAACCAAAAACGAAAAAACCCACUAACCCUGAUUCUAAAUAAUCUCACAUUUUAAACUUCAAAUCAUUAUAACUUCAAUAAAUCAAAAAAACAAUGCCAAUAAAAGAAGGGGUAAAAUAACCCAAAACCAAAAACCCAGAAACAACACAACAAUGGAUAUACUUAGAUAGUGUGUCAACUAACCCCAGAUCUGAAAAAUUAUAUACACAUACCCCCCCUCCCGUCCCACCCCACCCCGAUAACCCACCCACCCCUCAAUCCCAAAAAAAACACAAAGAGAGAAAAUAGGAAGUGUACCGCUGUGCCGCUGUUUUCAUCGCUGUGUCGCUGCUUUUCCUUUGCUGUGUCGCUGCUUUCAUCGUGAGGUUGCCCGAAUUUUCGUCGGUAAGGUCGCCGAGAUUUUCGUUGGUGAGCCGUGUGAGAGUUGUUUGAAAAGGAAAAGGGGUAAUUGGAAGGGAAAAGGGGCAAGUAAGAUGGGCUGUCCGGGUCGGGUCAAAUUAUUGGG